AAUGGGUCAGCGACUUAUAUUCUGUAGCAAGGUUAACCGAAUAGGGGAGCCGAAGGGAAACCGAGUCUUAACUGGGCGUUAAGUUGCAGGGUAUAGACCCGAAACCCGGUGAUCUAGCCAUGGGCAGGUUGAAGGUUGGGUAACACUAACUGGAGGACCGAACCGACUAAUGUUGAAAAAUUAGCGGAUGACUUGUGGCUGGGGGUGAAAGGCCAAUCAAACCGGGAGAUAGCUGGUUCUCCCCGAAAGCUAUUUAGGUAGCGCCUCGUGAAUUCAUCUCCGGGGGUAGAGCACUGUUUCGGCAAGGGGGUCAUCCCGACUUACCAACCCGAUGCAAACUGCGAAUACCGGAGAAUGUUAUCACGGGAGACACACGGCGGGUGCUAACGUCCGUCGUGAAGAGGGAAACAACCCAGACCGCCAGCUAAGGUCCCAAAGUCAUGGUUAAGUGGGAAACGAUGUGGGAAGGCCCAGACAGCCAGGAUGUUGGCUUAGAAGCAGCCAUCAUUUAAAGAAAGCGUAAUAGCUCACUGGUCGAGUCGGCCUGCGCGGAAGAUGUAACGGGGCUAAACCAUGCACCGAAGCUGCGGCAGCGACACUAAGUGUUGUUGGGUAGGGGAGCGUUCUGUAAGCCUGUGAAGGUGUACUGUGAGGUAUGCUGGAGGUAUCAGAAGUGCGAAUGCUGACAUAAGUAACGAUAAAGCGGGUGAAAAGCCCGCUCGCCGGAAGACCAAGGGUUCCUGUCCAACGUUAAUCGGGGCAGGGUGAGUCGACCCCUAAGGCGAGGCCGAAAGGCGUAGUCGAUGGGAAACAGGUUAAUAUUCCUGUACUUGGUGUUACUGCGAAGGGGGGACGGAGAAGGCUAUGUUGGCCGGGCGACGGUUGUCCCGGUUUAAGCGUGUAGGCUGGUUUUCCAGGCAAAUCCGGAAAAUCAAGGCUGAGGCGUGAUGACGAGGCACUACGGUGCUGAAGCAACAAAUGCCCUGCUUCCAGGAAAAGCCUCUAAGCAUCAGGUAACAUCAAAUCGUACCCCAAACCGACACAGGUGGUCAGGUAGAGAAUACCAAGGCGCUUGAGAGAACUCGGGUGAAGGAACUAGGCAAAAUGGUGCCGUAACUUCGGGAGAAGGCACGCUGAUAUGUAGGUGAAGCGACUUGCUCGUGGAGCUGAAAUCAGUCGAAGAUACCAGCUGGCUGCAACUGUUUAUUAAAAACACAGCACUGUGCAAACACGAAAGUGGACGUAUACGGUGUGACGCCUGCCCGGUGCCGGAAGGUUAAUUGAUGGGGUUAGCGCAAGCGAAGCUCUUGAUCGAAGCCCCGGUAAACGGCGGCCGUAACUAUAACGGUCCUAAGGUAGCGAAAUUCCUUGUCGGGUAAGUUCCGACCUGCACGAAUGGCGUAAUGAUGGCCAGGCUGUCUCCACCCGAGACUCAGUGAAAUUGAACUCGCUGUGAAGAUGCAGUGUACCCGCGGCAAGACGGAAAGACCCCGUGAACCUUUACUAUAGCUUGACACUGAACAUUGAGCCUUGAUGUGUAGGAUAGGUGGGAGGCUUUGAAGUGUGGACGCCAGUCUGCAUGGAGCCGACCUUGAAAUACCACCCUUUAAUGUUUGAUGUUCUAACGUUGGCCCCUGAUCGGGGUUGCGGACAGUGUCUGGUGGGUAGUUUGACUGGGGCGGUCUCCUCCUAAAGAGUAACGGAGGAGCACGAAGGUUGGCUAAUCCUGGUCGGACAUCAGGAGGUUAGUGCAAUGGCAUAAGCCAGCUUGACUGCGAGCGUGACGGCGCGAGCAGGUGCGAAAGCAGGUCAUAGUGAUCCGGUGGUUCUGAAUGGAAGGGCCAUCGCUCAACGGAUAAAAGGUACUCCGGGGAUAACAGGCUGAUACCGCCCAAGAGUUCAUAUCGACGGCGGUGUUUGGCACCUCGAUGUCGGCUCAUCACAUCCUGGGGCUGAAGUAGGUCCCAAGGGUAUGGCUGUUCGCCAUUUAAAGUGGUACGCGAGCUGGGUUUAGAACGUCGUGAGACAGUUCGGUCCCUAUCUGCCGUGGGCGCUGGAGAACUGAGGGGGGCUGCUCCUAGUACGAGAGGACCGGAGUGGACGCAUCACUGGUGUUCGGGUUGUCAUGCCAAUGGCACUGCCCGGUAGCUAAAUGCGGAAGAGAUAAGUGCUGAAAGCAUCUAAGCACGAAACUUGCCCCGAGAUGAGUUCUCCCUGACUCCUUGAGAGUCCUGAAGGAACGUUGAA
rnacentral:rRNA from 1 species